UACGUAGGGGACGAGCGUUGUCCGGAAUUAUUGGGCGUAAAGAGCGUGUAGGCGGCUCUUCAAGUCCUGCGUGAAAUCUCGAGGCUCAACCUCGAGCGGUCGUGGGAUACUGGGGGGCUAGAGUGCGGGAGAGGGAAGUGGAAUUCCAGGUGUAGCGGUGAAAUGCGCAGAUAUCUGGAAGAACACCCGUGGCGAAGGCGGCUUCCUGGAACGACACUGACGCUGAGACGCGAAAGCGUGGGGAGCAAACAGG
rnacentral:rRNA from 1 species